GGAGCUCACAUCUUCCUGCUCUCAGGAGACGCAGCGGACAGCCAAGGUCUACCCGGAGCUGGUCUUAUCUCUGUGUUGAUGGCUGAACCUGGACCUGGUCCUGACCGAUACAACCAGGAGACACCCACCCACCAAUCAGAAGGUAGAGAUUCCUGCAGGAAGGUUGCGCUCGACUUCACUAGCCCAGUUGUGCCCAGGCACGACGUUAUGGGUGGGCCUGACGGACCCAGGCCCACCCAUUUUUCAACAGGCCCACCCAAAACUUUUCUUAAAAAAAAAAAAAUUAUAAUAAUAUAUAUUAUACAUGAAAUUUAUUGCACGGCUCUUUUCAAUGCUG
ensembl:lncRNA